rnacentral:rRNA from 1 species
CAGCAGCCACGGUAAUACGUAGGUGGCAAGCGUUGUCCGGAAUUAUUGGGCGUAAAGCGCGCGCAGGCGGAUCAGUCAGUCUGUCUUAAAAGUUCGGGGCUUAACCCCGUGAUGGGAUGGAAACUGCUGAUCUAGAGUAUCGGAGAGGAAAGUGGAAUUCCUAGUGUAGCGGUGAAAUGCGUAGAUAUUAGGAAGAACACCAGUGGCGAAGGCGACUUUCUGGACGAAAACUGACGCUGAGGCGCGAAAGCCAGGGGAGCGAACGGGAUUAGAUACCCCAGUAGUCCCUGUCUCUUAUACA